CUGGCCUACGGGACGCAGCAGUAGGGAAUUUUCGUCAAUGGGCGCAAGCCUGAACGAGCAAUGCCGCGUGAACGAGGAAGGUCUUCGGAUCGUAAAGUUCUGUUGAAGGGGAAAAAGAGCGGAGAGAGGAAAUGGUCUCCGAUUGAUAUUACCCUUCGAGGAAGUCACGGCUAACUACGUGCCAGCAGCCGCGGUAAUGCGUAGGUGGCGAGCGUUGUCCGGAUUUACUGGGUGUAAGGGAGCGCAGA
rnacentral:rRNA from 1 species